rnacentral:lncRNA from 1 species
GGUGCCUGUCUGAAUAGGCUGCGCGCGAGCGCAUGAACGCCCGACGCUGGUGAUGGUGGGCUUUGGCGGACUGGCCCAGUGGGUGCGUUACAAAUGGUAUCGGAGCCCACAUUGCCGCUGCUGCCUGGGAGAGCUUUGGGCCUCUUAGGGGGGUGGGAUGUAAGGGGCCGGUAUGCAUGCCCUGGGUUAGUACCACCUCGCCUAGCCAAGGGGGCCGUGUUGCACUUAUAAGGGCGGGCCUCCCUCCUCUCUCAGCCUAGGUUUUGAGAGCGAGGUGCCUGUCUGAAUAGGCUGCGCGCGAGCGCAUGAACGCCCGACGCUGGUGAUGGUGGGCUUUGGCGGACUGGCCCAGUGGGUGCGUUACAAAUGUCAGCAGCUCUAGGUGCUAUACAAAAGUUAAGGAUGGUAGCUCCGGAUGUUCUACGGAAGCCAAGCCAUGCAAGACGAGGAGAAGCAGGCUUCUGAAGCUGUUGAAAGAGGGAAGCUGAGAAGAGUAGCCGAGAGACUAAGCCCAACAAGAAGUAUAUUGGUGUCAAUAGGCUGUAAUAGGGCCCACAUAUUUGUUAGCUAUAAAAGAGGGAAAACUGCUCGUCUGUAACCUGGCUUUUGGCUAACGAUGAACUUGGAAAGGAAGAUAGAACAUAGAACUGAUUCCUGAGUGUCUGGUGAGUCUUGUGAGAGGGUGUUGUUAACAUUUGGUAUCAGAGCUGGUUCUUCC